GGGCCCGCACAAGCGGUGGAGCAUGUGGUUUAAUUCGAUGAUACGCGAGGAACCUUACCAGGGCUUAAAUGUAAGUUGCAUUAGAUAGAGAUAUCUAUUUCUUCGGACCACUUACAAGGUGCUGCAUGGUUGUCGUCAGCUCGUGCCGUGAGGUGUCAGGUUAAGUCCUAUAACGAGCGCAACCCCUGUUGUUAGUUGCCAGCGAUUCAAGUCGGGAACUCUAACAAGACUGCCGGUGCAAACCGUGAGGAAGGUGGGGAUGACGUCAAAUCAUCACGGCCCUUACGUCCUGGCUACACACGUGCUACAAUGGUAAGGACAAUGAGCUGCGAUCCUGCGAAGGCUAGCC
rnacentral:rRNA from 1 species